AGACCCCAGCCAGCCGGUCCGCGGGGUUCCCGAGUCAGGAAGAAGGGAGGCGGCCUUGGCCGUCGCCCCUCGCAAUCGCGAGCACCUCGCAGAUCGCGAGGUUUUGAGUGCUCCUCUCAGGAGGAGGAGGAGGAGACCCACGUGACUAGACCUAUAUUGUCAAAGACAAGCCAGAAGAACCUAGAAAGGGUAGGAGGAAAGUUUUUCUCCUCCCCCAAUAGUUGGUGUAUCCGGCAGAAUCCUUCACUGGCUGGAAAAGCUGUUUUCCGAAGACUGCUGCAGAUAAAGAGAUCCUGGGACAUUUGACAAAAGCUGGCAGAAGACAGUGGCUUCCGAAGUGACACAUCUAGUGGCCCAUGGAGCAAGUUCUGUUCAGAAACCACGCGGCAAUGGAGGAGACCAUCUACAGGCUGUGCUUGCAUCCAGACCGUUCAGGUGUAAUCAGCAGCAACACAGCGGAGAUGAAUGACUUUGGGCCACACCCAGGGUUCCCAGGCUAGGAGUCUAAUCGGAGCUGCAGCUGCUGGUCUACGCCAGAGCCACAGCAGCGUGGGAUUCGAGCCGCAUCUGCGACCUACACCACAGCUCACGGCAUCGCUGGAUCCUCAACCCACUAAGGCCAGGGAUCAAACCCACAACCUCAUGGUUCCUCGUCGGAUUUGCUUCCACUGCACCGUGACGGGAACUCCAAGUUGAUGAACUUUCUGACCCAAGAAUCCUCUGACUUUGAAACUUAGGCUUACUUUUGUUUAUGGUAAGAUCAAUGUCUAAAGUGUAUCUUACUAUACUAUAGCAACAAUCUAUCCAUCUAUUUAUCUGUCAUCAAUAACCAUCCAUUCAUCAUCUGUCAAAAAAAUUGUUAAAAAUAACUAACCCUUUGAAUCCUCAAAGUUGAUAUUCUUUCCCUUGCAGUUGGAAAAUGAAUUUUAAAUUAUUCAUGUUAACAUCCUCUAGACAAAUUGAAUUUUUAGAAUAUUUAAGAGUAUUUAAGAAAAGCUUAGUAAAGUCAAUCUUUUACAUUAA
rnacentral:lncRNA from 1 species